rnacentral:rRNA from 1 species
GAUGAACGCUGGCGGCGUGCCUAAUACAUGCAAGUCGAGCGAACAGACGAGGAGCUUGCUCCUCUGACGUUAGCGGCGGACGUGUGAGUAACACGUGUAUAACCUACCUAUAAGACUGGUAUAACUUCGAGAAACCGGAGCUAAUACCGUAUAAUAUAUUGAACCGCAUGGUUCAAUAGUGAAAGACGGUUUUGCUGUCACUUAUAGAUGGAUCCGCGCCGCAUUAGCUAGUUGGUAAGGUAACGGCUUACCAAGGCAACGAUGCGUAGCCGACCUGAGAGGGUGAUCGCCCACAUUGGAACUGAGACACGGUCAAGACUCCUAAGGGAGGCAGCAGUAGGGAAUCUUCCGCAAUGGGCGAAAGCAUGACGGAGCAACGCCGAGUGAGUGAUGACGGUCUUCGGAUCGUAAAACUCUGUUAUUAGGGAAGAACAAAUGUGUAAGUAACUAUGCACGUAUUGACGGUACCUAAUCAGAAAGCAACGGCUAACUACGUG